GGCAGCCAGGCAGGGCUCCGGAGUAGACCUUUCCUUCUCGCUUCGUCAGCACCGAGAGUGCCCUCGUUGGGAACGGGGGCCUUAGCGGUCUCGUCAUUUACGAAGCGGAUGGGCUCCUGGACUCUGGGGCCUCGAACUGUUUCGAAGACUGAUGGGCAAAAGCCCCUGCAGCCCAGGGGCUGGCGGUCAGGGGGCUUGGCCGGGGCUGGAGUUUGGCCGUCGGAGCUCGGCUGGUCAAAGCUUGCCGCUGGUCCCCGGCUAUCCGCAGCUUCCAAAGAGGGGAUGAUUCCUUCACCUGGGUCCCAGAUUGAUGGAACAAAGCUGAAGAUGACUGUGGUUGACAAACAACAUGAAGAGAAAUAAACCUUACUUGACAAAGGAGCUGUUGUAGCCACAGGAUGGCAGAAACUCCAUCAUCAUGGUUCUUGAAUAAGAUGGCCUCCCCAUCUGUAAUGGUUGGUUGGACUGGAGUGGACACCUGACCCAGGCUAUGCCAAUCAGAAUUCCUUCCCUGGGAAUUUGGAAUUAACUUGGAGAUAGAAAGCAGCAAUGUGUGUGAUCUUAUGAUGAGUUCAUCGUGGAUGGAAAGACUACUGGACUGAGUAGCUAUCACUUCAUGACAUAUAAAUUUAAAAAGUGAUCUUCAUACCUGAAGAGUUUGAGAACCCAAACUGUUUUUCUGAUAAUUCAGCAUUUCAACUACCAUGUGGAGAUUGUCAAACAUCUCAAAUUUGCCUGUGUGGUGGAUUCCCAUAAGAUGGCCGGAUGCUCUCCAUUUACAGGAACACACAUGGUUGUGGCGACAACAGACAUCAUGUUAGCCCAGCCCCAACAGCAGCCUUUUAAGUCAAUUUCAGGCAUGAGAGAUCCCAGGUCUCUUUCCUCUUGGUUUCGACGAAUUAAAAUGUUAUCCCCUAAUAAACCUCAAUCCUAUACAUGA